UACGGGGGGGGCAAGCGUUGUUCGGAAUUACUGGGCGUAAAGGGCUCGUAGGCGGCCAACUAAGUCAGACGUGAAAUCCCUCGGCUUAACCGGGGAACUGCGUCUGAUACUGGAUGGCUUGAGUCUGGGAGAGGGAUGCGGAAUUCCAGGUGUAGCGGUGAAAUGCGUAGAUAUCUGGAGGAAUACCGGUGGCGAAAGCGACUCUCUGGACGGCAACCGACGCUGAGGCACGAAAGCCAGGGGAGCAAACGGG
rnacentral:rRNA from 1 species